GUCUAUGGCCAUGCUACCCUGAACAAGACCGAUCCCAUCUGAUCUCGGAAGCUAAGCAGGGUCUGGCCUGGUUAGUACUUGGAUGGGAGACCACCUAGGAAGAACAGGUGCUGUAGGCG
rnacentral:rRNA from 1 species